rnacentral:rRNA from 1 species
UACGUAGGGCGCAAGCGUUAUCCGGAAUUAUUGGGCGUAAAGAGCUCGUAGGCGGUUUGUCGCGUCUGCCGUGAAAGUCCGGGGCUCAACUCCGGAUCUGCGGUGGGUACGGGCAGACUAGAGUGAUGUAGGGGAGACUGGAAUUCCUGGUGUAGCGGUGAAAUGCGCAGAUAUCAGGAGGAACACCGAUGGCGAAGGCAGGUCUCUGGGCAUUAACUGACGCUGAGGAGCGAAAGCAGUGGGGAGCGAACAGG